AUUGAACGCUGGCGGCAGGCCUAACACAUGCAAGUCGAACGGUAACAGGAAGAGGCUUGCUUCUUUGCUGACGAGUGGCGGACGGGUGAGUAAUGUCUGGGAAACUGCCUGAUGGCGGGGGAUAACUACUGGAAACGGUAGCUAAUACCGCAUAACGUCGCAAGACCAAAGAGGGGGACCUUCGGGCCUCUUGCCAUCGGAUGUGCCCAGAUGGGAUUAGCUAGUAGGUGGGGUAACGGCUCACCUAGGCGACGAUCCCUAGCUGGUCUGAGAGGAUGACCAGCCACACUGGAACUGAGACACGGUCCAGACUCCUACGGGAGGCAGCAGUGGGGAAUAUUGCACAAUGGGCGCAAGCCUGAUGCAGCCAUGCCGCGUGUAUGAAGAAGGCCUUCGGGUUGUAAAGUACUUUCAGCGGGGAGGAAGGGAGUAAAGUUAAUACCUUUGCUCAUUGACGUUACCCGCAGAAGAAGCACCGGCUAACUCCGUG
rnacentral:rRNA from 1 species